UACGUAGGUGGCAAGCGUUGUCCGGAUUGACUGGGCGUAAAGCGCACGCAGGCGGUCGCGCGCGUGGGGUGUGAAAUCUGGCCGCUUAACGGCCAGGCGCCAUCCCAUACGGCGCGACUGGAGUGAUGCAGAGGUCGAUGGAAUUGCCGGUGUAGUGGUGAAAUGCGUAGAGAUCGGCAGGAACACCCAGGGGGAAACCAGUCGACUGGGCAUCUACUGACGCUGAGGUGCGAGAGCGUGGGGAGCGAACCGG
rnacentral:rRNA from 1 species